AGAUUCUUAGAUGAAGGAGAGAGAUAAACAGUUUUAAAAUAAUCGUGGAUAUGAAGAGGCGUGAGAAUGGCUCUCGGGAAAAUAUCGCGACGCUGCCUUGGAAAUUCAACGUGGAGUUCGACGAUAAUAACGUUCUGACUUGUAAAUUGUACAGCCAGCUUUCGUUCCGUUGUGUACGUGUUAGGUUACACUUAUCUUCGUAAAACUGAGUAUUCCAUCGGAAGAGGAUAAUGAGUUCACUGCUCCCCCACCUUCACCCGUUGAGUGUUUCAAAUACGCUCCUCUGAUUAAAUUUCGCAAAUAUAGUCACUUUAUACACCCCCAAGACAUCGACAAUCUAUUCUCAUCGUGCGACAGCUCUAUCGUAGAGAAAGCGAAAUUCACGUCCACGGAAUCGUCCACGGAAACCGUUGUUAAAAAUGCCAUCGUUCCCAGAAAGGUGGUUUCGUUCGGCGGGCAAUUGUCGCCGCCAUUAGAACACGCGAGGCGUCGCAACAAGGAGAAAUCGACGUGUUUAUCGACCGAAGAUUCCUGCGUUGCCAAGUCUUAUUCCGAGUCCUAUUCCGUCUUCCUCGAAAACGGCACCAACGAUGGUA